GGGUUGUGAGGUUAAGCGACUAAGCGUACACGGUGGAUGCCCUGGCAGUCAGAGGCGAUGAAGGACGUGCUAAUCUGCGAUAAGCGCCGGUAAGGUGAUAUGAACCGUUAUAACCGGCGAUUUCCGAAUGGGGAAACCCAGUGUGAUUCGUCACACUAUCAUUAACUGAAUCCAUAGGUUAAUGAGGCGAACCGGGGGAACUGAAACAUCUAAGUACCCCGAGGAAAAGAAAUCAACCGAGAUUCCCCCAGUAGCGGCGAGCGAACGGGGAGGAGCCCAGAGCCUGAAUCAGCAUGUAUGUUAGUGGAAGCGUCUGGAAAGGCGCGCGAUACAGGGUGACAGCCCCGUACACAAAAGCGCAUGUGCUGUGAGCUCGAUGAGUAGGGCGGGACACGUGGUAUCCUGUCUGAAUAUGGGGGGACCAUCCUCCAAGGCUAAAUACUCCUGACUGACCGAUAGUGAACCAGUACCGUGAGGGAAAGGCGAAAAGAACCCCGGCGAGGGGAGUGAAAAAGAACCUGAAACCGUGUACGUACAAGCAGUGGGAGCACAGGUUUACCUGUGUGACUGCGUACCUUUUGUAUAAUGGGUCAGCGACUUAUAUUCUGUAGCAAGGUUAACCGCAUAGGGGAGCCGGAGGGAAACCGAGUCUUAAUUGGGCGUUAAGUUGCAGGGUAUAGACCCGAAACCCGGUGAUCUAGCCAUGGGCAGGUUGAAGGUUGGGUAACACUAACUGGAGGACCGAACCGACUAAUGUUGAAAAAUUAGCGGAUGACCUGUGGCUGGGGGUGAAAGGCCAAUCAAACCGGGAGAUAGCUGGUUCUCCCCGAAAGCUAUUUAGGUAGCGCCUCGUGAA
rnacentral:rRNA from 1 species